CCUACGGGUGGCAGCAGUGGGGAAUAUUGGACAAUGGGGGCAACCCUGAUCCAGCCAUGCCGCGUGUGUGAAGAAGGCCCUCGGGUUGUAAAGCACUUUCAGUGAGGAAGAACGCCUGGUGGUUAAUACCCAUCAGGAAAGACAUCACUCACAGAAGAAGCACCGGCUAACUCCGUGCCAGCAGCCGCGGUAAUACGGAGGGUGCGAGCGUUAAUCGGAAUUACUGGGCGUAAAGCGCGCGUAGGUGGCUUGAUAAGCCGGUUGUGAAAGCCCCGGGCUCAACCUGGGGACGGCAUCCGGAACUGUCAAGCUAGAGUGCAGGAGAGGAAGGUAGAAUUCCCGGUGUAGCGGUGAAAUGCGUAGAGAUCGGGAGGAAUACCAGUGGCGAAGGCGGCCUUCUGGACUGACACUGACACUGAGGUGCGAAAGCGUGGGUAGCAAACAGGAUUAGAUACCCUUGUAGUC
rnacentral:rRNA from 1 species